AGCUAUUUGCAUAGGAGCCCCAGCCCAUUCUUUAGUCAGAACCCCAAGUCUUGAACGUCAGCGGCCUGACAUGGACUCCAGGACUUUAAGACACCAUCGAGCUUCCCAGCUCCUGUGGGCUCCGGAAAUUGAGAGAGAGCUGUUUCUAGGAAGUGUCUGGCUGUCCUUCCCCUCCUGCCAGUUGAGAACCGGCUACUAAAUAAAGAUGCCAUGUGACCUCCCUUCUGCAGACUCUCAGGUCUCAGAGCAACAGUUAAAGUGGAGAGGAGGCGGCUGAUGACUCACUGAUACUCCGGAGCAGGAAAUCAACACCCAGGGAGCCUGACCCGGCAGCGGCUCAUACAGAAUUGAUUGGCGGUGGUUUGAGCGUGGGUGGAGUGGCUUUAAUGUAGCCGAGCUUAUAAUACUUCCUUCUGCCGACCUCGGUCAGGAGCAGAAACUGGAAAUCCCAGAUGCUAGUGGUGCGAAGGCCUCUCCAGGAGUGUUUGGGAAGGGAUGAUCUGAGAACUGCUAAGCUGUGGUUUGUCAUGCUGGAGUCAAGGAAGCAGCCCAGACAGAGUCCCGGAUUCUUGCUGCUUGAGAAGCUCAUUAAAAAGAGGAACGAGAAUAAGGCAGCAGACCGGGGGACGGGGCUUUAUCCAGAGCCGGGGACUUUUCUGAAGCCCAAAGUCGAGGGAAUCCAGCAUUUCACCCCGUGAACUGCGGUAAGUGAGCUUCUGGGCUGUUUCCAGAAGUGCCCACCCGGUAGAGACUCCGCCCACCUCCUCCCCCUGUCAGCCUCAGAAUCUGUCUUAUCCUGUCUCAGGUUUGACUCACUUACCUUGACUGUGAAACCAUUUAGAGGAGCCAAUCCCAACCUCCUGUUUGAACCAGAGACCCACCCCCUGCCGCUGCCCAGUGAGUCCCCACGCCCACUCAGACCCGCCCACAGAGCAUUAAGUAGCUGUAAUUGGUGGCCAUUGCUGGAUGUUUGAAUCACUUAUACUAAUUAGCCCUGGGGAUUCUGUCCUCAUCAAUGGGGUGAGAAGGACGCUGUCUGGACAUCCCACAUUCUGAGCAGGACACAAGGGAGCAGUUCCAGCGUUCGGGUUUUGUUAUGAGGUAGCCUGGGAUCACUGCCCCCCUCCAAUCUCUUGGAGCAGGAAGAGAGUUCACCGAUGUGAGGGAAGAGGUCACUGCAUGUCCUAAUUCCUCUCUCCAUGGCUAGGCGUGGAGGGUUCUCUCGGCAAUGACCCUGCUAGAGUACGGAUGAGGAAGGUCCUAAACCCUGGAACUUGCAGGGUCAUGAAGCCUACCUGGUCUUGAGAAUUGGAGACUGUCUUGUCAGAAAAUUGUAUCAACUGGAGAUAGAAGGCUGGGAGGUGAGCUUAGCUCUGCUCCUUUUCAAUGGGAAGGGUGGCCCCUGUCCAAUGAUGGGGGACUCGAGGGGGCGGUCUGUCCUGUACGUCUUGCACACACCUACUAUGGAUUCGAUUGUGUCUGUAAGCCCAUGCUUCCUACCAGCCUACCUUCUAUGCCCCCUCCCCCACCACUUAGGCUAGUUUGAGAUGUUUCUAACAAGGAAGAGAUAAGAGGAAACGAACUUACAAACUUUAAAAAUCUCAUGAACUCAAAUCAGUACUUUUCUUUGUUAUCAAGACACAUAUUUGCAUUUUCCUGUUCUUUUGACUCAUAAUUGAGCCAGGGCCGGAGUGGGGU
ensembl:lncRNA